rnacentral:lncRNA from 1 species
UCCAGAGUGUUCUCUGCUUGAGAAGAAAAGAUUGUCCCAUAACUUACGAGUUGCUUUCUUCAUAUUAUCCAACACUAUCAUUUGUAUCCCAGGAUUGUUAAACUAAAAUAAACCUUCUUUUCUCUACUGCAUUGCAUAUCAUAGCUACCACCACUUGAUCAUUUGGGACAGAAAUGGACUCCUAAGCUAGUACAGUGCUGGUAGAGAUUUGUUCUCGAGGAGGUUUAACAAAUAUAUUACUUAGGUAAUGUUUGAAGAACUAUAUGAGAAAGACCCUUAACUCCAUGACCUUCAUCUACUACAAAAUUUUUUAUAUCCCUCUAGUCAGAUUGAAUUCUUAAAAGUUUUGUAGCCAUAUGUGUUACAAUAAGCAUGAUACUUUUCAAUUCUGAAUUUCUAGCCUGUCUUGCAAUUAAUAUUUUCUUAUUUUGUGAUGGAUGAUGAUUAGAGCUUUCAUUGUGAAUUUAGGCCAAACGCUGUAUUUUCUAGUAGAAGUUUAUCUUUUGGGAAACUAAUUGAAGCAGUUGAAAUGUUGUGGGAUUUAAUUAAUAUUUUCUUAUUUUGUGAUGGAUGUUGAUUAGAGCUUUCAUUGUGAAUUUAGGCCAAAUGCAGUAUUUUCUAGUAGAAAUUUAUCUUUUGGGAAACCAAUUGAAGUGGUUGGAAUGUCGUGGGAUUUAGAUGGUUGGAAGUGGAAAGUUGAUUUAUUGGUUUUUGAAAGUGAGGGAAUUAAUGGAUAUGACAAAAUUAUUUUGCAACGGUUAAAUUGCCUGGAUUUUGGAAUAGUUAAAUUUCCUCGUUUUUGGAAUAAUCAAUGGAAAUUAUUCCCCCCUGGCAUGACCUUCAUUCUAUGUGGUGGUCAAGUAUGUUAUUUGUUAGAGGGACUUUACUAUAUUUCACCCAUAUAUCAGAGUAUGUAUUCAUGCUUUACUCAAUCAUUCAUCUUGCUUUAGCCUCAUGAUUCCAUAUUCAUUGUACUCCUAAUUUUGUUAUGUAAUAUCUAUAUUUUUUUUCUUUGCAAAAAGCAUCAUCAAUGGAUAUAAUGAACCAAUUGAACAAAAAAAUAGUCAUCGUACCAGUUCAUGUCCUUACUCAUACAUAGUGAAAGAGGUGAUAAAGGUAGUGAAUGUAUAUGUUAUCAAUAUGUGCUUUAUUAAAUAAUUUUGCUGAUAAUUUGAAUGUAGUGUUUGAAACAUAAUUGCUAACUAUUAGGACGGUACGAGGUUUUCUAAAGUCGACACCUUUGAGUUCGCUUAUGAAGGAAAUAAUAAAUGUCAUACUUAUAAUGCAGCUAAGGCUCAACACGUAAAAAAGACUCAACGCUAUAACUUUUAUAUUGCUUAUCAUGUGUUAUAUUUCUAGUGUAUAAUUGUAUUAUAUCUCUUACAUAUUUUAGUUAUAUAGACUAUUUUAUAUCACCUAUGGGUUGUGUUUGUAGGAUAAGAUGCUUGUUAAAGAGUAUGAACAUCUUGUAGAGAAGGUAAAGGAGUAGUAGAUUCCCGAAGAUAUCCCUUUCAAGGAAUACCUAUAGAUAAUCCUACUGUUGGACUUAAUAUCAUGAUGUCCGUUCUAAGUACAAAGCCCAGACAUCAAAUUCGUGGGUUGAAAGAUGGUCGCCUUUGAGAUAUUAAAACAUCUUCUUCCAAUGUACGCAAUAUGGAGGAUUUAGAAGCAGAACGUGCUGCUCAAAAGGUUGAAUAUGCAGCUCAAGUGAAAAUGGAGCAAAGGAUACAAAACAAGUUGAAGGUUGUUAAGCAACAAUUCAAUUCUAUUUUGCAAUCUUGGCAUCACUCUAUGCACCAGUUACGUGGUAAAGUACCUGGCUUUGUGGUAACAUCAUUUACACUACUGUCAACAGAGAUUAAUACUACUGAGGAAAAUGAUGCUAUUCAUGAGGACAAAGAGAACAACUUUGAAGAGGAUCAGUUGAAUACCUAAUUUACGAGGAUGAACAGUAGUGUUUUUUAGAUGCAUAAUAAUAGAUAUAGAGGAUGUUUGCUAUAUUAUUUUUAUGUCCAGGUAUAACCAUACUUAGUGAAUGAUUUUUAUUUAUAUUUUUUUGAAAUAUUUUGGAUUCAAUAUUACAUUGAUUGGCAUUACAUGUCUUAAUUAAAUUAUUGGUUUUUUUUUUUUUUGCAUCUUUAUAUUAUUUUGAAUGUGGUUAAAAAAUUACUAUAAUAUAAAAACAUAUAUAAAAUAAUUUAAUUUCUCCCUACGAAUUCUUUCAUAAUAGCCUACAAAUAUGUUUUUCUAUGAAAAAUUAUUUGUAGAGAAAAACAGGGUUUAGCCUACAAAAUAAUAUGUAUCAUGUAGUCACAAGUUUUUAAUUAUUGGAAAAAUGUAUAUAUUUUAGCCCACAAAUAUUCCUUCCACACAAAAUAAUUUUAGUAGGGAAAAGCAAGUUUUGGCCCACAACAUAAUUUGUAGGGAAAAGUGAUAUCGUUUCGUAGGCAAACUUAGCUUUAGCAGGCAAAUGAUUUUGUCGAGAGAAAACUUACCCGACGUAUUGUAUUCGUCUCCAAAGGGUUCGUAGGGAAAAACAUUUUCCCACAAAUUUCAAAAUUUUGUAGGCUAAAGUCUAUCUCCUUGAUGUAUGCCCCACAAAUGUCCCCACAAAUCAUUUUUGAUUUUUUCCCACAAAUAAAAACCUUUCCCUACAAAUAAAUUUUGUAGGGAAAACAUAAAACUCAUGUAGUGGAUAUACCUCUUAUACUAUAUAAUUCAUCAAACUUUACAAGAAAAUAGAGGCAAUUCAAUCAUUCUUUUUGGAGAAUUAAGAGCCAAACACAAGAUUUCAUUCAAAUGAUGAUCCAACCUUAAUUUUUUGGGCAGAAAAGAAAAGUCUCAACUAGAGAUUAAUCAAGAAAUAAUUGAAGUGAUUCAAGAUAUAAUGAUACAUCUUCUUCUUAAUUUAUCAAAAAUCAAGGUGAUGUUCUAUAAAUCAAAUAUGAUUUCUUUUAAUUUUGCUAUAGUUGGCUAGAUUUCUAUCUACUAAGAUAUAGAUAAACCCUUAUAAUAAAGUUUUAAUAUAGUUUCAAUAUUAUGACAUCUAAUAUGUGUUUAUUCUUAAAUAAUUGUUAUAUAAUUUAAUGUCUUUCGGUUACUUGAUCACUAAUUGGAUGGAAUUAAGAAUUUUACUGUUACUGAGAGAGACAAUAGUAUAGAUAGCAUUAUUAACAAAUGUUGUGAGAUCUUAUUGAGGAUAGAAAUAUAUCUCUAUACUUUGCAUGAUUUCAAUAGAUAUUCUAAUGUUUUUAAUACAUGUUUUAAUAUUAGCAUCGUUCAUAAAAAAUUAUGAAGGUCACAUGAGAUGAUAUAUUUAAUUCUACUCUAGAAAGAUUAUUAAAUAAUUUAACGUUGAUCAACAAGAAUACUUACAUGUUGUCAUGGUCUUGAAUUGCAUUAAAAUUGAUUAAUAAGGGGGAUUCAAAGUCCCGGUAAUCAUUUCACAUAGUUUUACAAAAAUAAUCAUAAUUUGUUCAUUAGAAUAUUUAGUUUAAAUAAUUAAUCAGUAAAAAUUAUUCAUAAAAAUUUAGUUAUUCGAUUAGAGUAAAAAUUAAUUGAAACUAGAUUACAAACAUAAUUUUCAUGGGAACGAUGCUUUAUUUAUCAUUGUAUUAUAGUUUACGAUACUGUGCACUUGCCAGACUUUGUAGAUCAAUCUUCCUAAGAUUGUAGACAUAUCUUGAUUUUCUUCUACAUCAGAGAUGACAGAAAUCAACUAGAAAAUAAAAUCUCAAGCUUCGACAAGCAUACCCUCAACCGUUCCAUAAGGAUGCUUGAUUUAUUUCUCGGCUCCCCAAUACCUAAUUUCUUGUAAAUAUACAAUGGCACUAGAUUAAUACUUGCUCCAAAAUCAAUUAAAACAUUUAUACUAUGUGAAUUUCCUAUAGAGCAAAAUAAUGCAAAACUCCUUGGAUUUUUUUAGUUUAUGAGAGAGCGUAGGUCGUAAGAUUCCACUGCAUUUUUAGAUAAUGUCAUUAGUUCAUAUUGUGGCAGCUUCUUCUUCUUAGUCAACAUCUGCUUCAAAAAUUUUGCAUAAUUUAAAAUUUGAAGGAUUGCUUCAAUGAAAGGAAUAUCGAUUUGAAUUUGCUUAAGGCGUCCAAGAACUUCUUGAACUGCUUUUUCCAACUUAUUGUUCUAUAGACAGCGGUAUAUGUGAAUUUGCAGGAAUGGUUAUCUUAACUUGUGGACUGUCUUCAAGUUGUUCCCGAUUGACUUUUGUUAAUUUUCCAGACUAAACCAUUUGUUUCUUACCCACGGUAGGUACCUGAUUAUCCUCAGUCUCUUUCUUUUUUAUGCUGAACUCCACUUCUUGUUAUGAUGGCCUAAACCUGUUUCUUCUUUAGCUGCUUUCAAAGACUUUGAAAGAAUAGGAUAUGCAGCACAUAAGCUCAUGCAGGCUCAACAAAUUUGAUUGAUGGUACGUAACUGUUCAUCUUCCAUAGCUUUAAUAGCUAGCACCUAUUCCCGUGGGUUCUCUGUGUAGCUUGGCAGGGUAUCCUUUUAUUCUAUUGGACAACAUAGCUACUAUCUAUCCCACUUGACUUUUCAAAUUUUGGAAAGAAAUUUACUGAUUUUGGAGUACUGUCUUAAUCUCUAUGAGUACUGAGCCAUUAGAUCCUCUAAAGAUGACUUCUCUCUUAUUGUUGGGAUGUCAACAAGCCGAACCAAGUCAGCUUGUAAGUCGAAACUUGAAGAUUGGGCUCGGCACGAGUAAAACUAAGUUGAGCUUUUUUUGCCAGAGUCAAGUUGAGUAAAAGCUUUGCAAAUAAUCGAGGUUCUACCCGAGCUUUCAACUCAAGCCUUACCGAGCUAAGUCGAGUCGGCUGGAUUUUUUU